rnacentral:tRNA from 1 species
GGAGAGGUGGUAGAGUGGUAAUACAGCAGCCUGCUAAGCUGUGGGCGAGCAAUCGCCUCCCGAGUUCGAAUCUCGGUCUCUCCG